rnacentral:rRNA from 1 species
UUGGAGGGCAAGUCUGGUGCCAGCAGCCGCGGUAAUUCCAGCUCCAAUAGCGUAUAUUAAAGUUGUUGCAGUUAAAAAGCUCGUAGUUGAAUUUCGGGAUCAGACUGUCGGUCGUGCCUCGGUACGCACUGGCAUUAUUGGUUCCUACCUUCUGAAGAACCGCGAUGUCAUUAAUUUGGUGUCGUGGGGAAUCAGGACUGUUACUUUGAAAAAAUUAGAGUGUUUAAAGCAAGCUAACGCUUGAAUACAUUAGCAUGGAAUAAUGAAA